GUGAGACAUGUGUUUGGAAGGCUUAUAACAUGCUUUUAAUAUUUAGAUUUAAGACUUUAUAACACAAGUGUAACACCAAAUAUACCGUUUGUCUGUGAAAACAUGCAACUGUAAAGAAUUGCUUUACAUUUUAUAAACACACCACAUCUCCAUUUGUGUCAUUAAAACUACGCUUAACGUGUAAGUAAUGAAUCAAACACCUAUUCAAAGAAAGACACCCAGUUAAACUGUCUAACUCAGACUACUAAUCCCUGAUUUAGAGAGGUAGGUACACUUAAGGACUUAAGCAAUUUCACAUGGAAUAAGGAUGGUGGAUUCUGUCUUCUGUCACAACGCUUAAAUUGCCUUUAAAGUGGGAUUUCCGUAUGGCUGCUACAGGCGAAAGGGAUGACAACAGCCAGCAAUAACUCUUUCAGUGUCCAUGUAGGCAUGUAUUAGUUUUAUUUUGAUAUGAAAAACAGUGAAACUAAUUGAUCAUGAGCCUUCUUUUCUGGCAAUUGUAACGGCCAAUAUAUUAUAAAAUUGUAGAGGCAGUAUAGCAGUGACAGUGAUUUAUCAGUAUAUGAGGUUUCUUAUAGGCCUCAUCUACAUAAAGUACGGUCCUUACAACGAACACAUCAAUAUGCAUGACUCAUUCUCGAGUCUUGUGACAUGUGGCGCAGACAGAGCCACAGACAUUGGACAACACAGUAAACCUAAGCGCUGUCUUUCCAUGACAGUAUUAUCAGUGAAACUAACACCCUCUUUGGAAUGCCACAAACCUGCCUGGAGACAUGGAGCAGCUAGUUUUAUGAAGCCCAUCCCUGCACUGCCCCAAAUGAGCCAUGGUGAAUUCUCCACCGCCAGUCAAUCCCUGGGGAGGCAGUCAAGAAAACCCUAUUAUAUUUGGGGGCAGGCACCGCUCAAACUGACAGCAACUGCUGCGACAGCAAAGCUCGCGGAAAGAGGGAGAGAGAGGGAGGUAUGUUCACCAUCUCUACGUGACAACAGGCUAAAUUGCUCACAAGUUGGUCUCAUUUGCUUUGCAUGGCGAUUGUGCACAAAGAACGAUGCACUUUGCAGUUAAAGAUGAACAAACCUUCUGAAUUAUGCUAACAGCCCCGAGUGCUCGGGCUCCCUCGUCUUACAAGUGCUUCAUCAGUUUCACACAAAACCCAAAGUAAAAAUCGAACCAUAAAUACAAAUUAAGCUUUGCGCUUAAAAACAGCUGCUGAAUUUAUUUGAGUGCUAUAUGAUUAGCUAACUAAAAAAAGCUACCUUCAUUAAGUUGCACUUUUCCAGAUGUCUCUCUACGCUCAAACCAUUGGGCUCCCCAUUGUAUGCGUCUGCAAUUUAAGAUCAGUUAUUAAUUUUAUAGUCCACUUAAAAUAGCCGCACCUGUAAUUAGAAUCUUAAAUUGCUAAACGGUGCACACGCAUGUGUGCGUGCAUGCACACACACACAGAAAACCACAAACUCGUCAUGGAAUAUAACCAAAGCAGGGAAAUUACCGCAGCGCGUACGUCUGGAAGUCCCUUCUCUGUGAAAUGCGUAUGAAACAUUAAAGCAACAGCAAAAAAAAGUAGCAUGAACAGAGUGGAAGCUUGGGAGGACGCGAGUCCACAAGUGCUGGUUUCAAUCUGAGGGAUAACAUGGAAAAGGUCAAGUCUGAGUCGGCAGAUCACACAUAAUCACCUCCCACACAAUGCUGCUGCCCUAUUCCACAGAAGCCUCCUGAUGAGAAGAGUAGAUAGACAGACAGGAAGAGGCUGACAGAUAUAGGGCAGUGGAGGGAGAGAGAGAGAAGGAAGGAGAGGAAGAAAGGCCCGAAUAAGAGGAGAAUGAGGCAUUAUCAUUCCGAGCAUCAACCCAAUAGCAGAUGGGCAGCUUGUCUGUCUUGGGCUGUGAAGGAGUGGCGUGUGACCCUGUUCACCCCAGGCCUAAUGAAAGAUUGACUGACUGACUCACCUCACUAUGCCAGCGUGUAUGUAUGCUCGACCAAAUAUUAUUGGAUGCAGGGCCUGGAAAUGAUCUAGGAGCUUAGAGAGGGAGGAAAAGACGAACAUUGCAGAACAGUGAUUGAAGGCAGGGCCACAAAGUGAACUAAUCUGAAAAUGAACAGUGGUUCUGUGUUACGGGCAGACCACAGCGCAGUGAACUGAAAAUAAGUGCGGUCGUGCCAUGCUUUGACAUGCAACUGAACACAAGGCUGUGGAGUGAUGCUGAAGCUUAUUUCAAAUCACAGUCUGUGAUUUAAAAACUACAGAAAGGGGAAAAAAGAGUACUUGGAGCAAAACUGGAAUUGCACAAGUUAUUAUACUGUGUUUAGAAUUACACAAAAAAAACAUAUAUUGCAAGUAAUUCUUUCUGUGACUAUGAUUGAAUGGAAAAUCAGAACUGUGCACUCUCUCAAGCCCAAACCAAGUGUAUACUGAGCAACCUUGGUUAUGUAAAAAUCAUCUGUACAUGCAACAAAGUUUGAAUGGCUAAUGCUUGCUUUGUGCUUCUACAAGUAUCACACAAUUAAUGUUAUCCUGGAGGUCAAACAGGAAAGAUAAGUGGCUAACCUCAACUGAAUGCAAAUAGCCCACAUGCAUACGAGGUGAGCUACUGACAGGAAAGGACUCAUUUAAGUGCCUUAUGAAAGGAACAUUUCUAGAGAGAAAGGUGCAAAAACACAAUUGUUCAGUGUAGUAAUUAAUUGUUACUCCCACGGUCUCUGGUUCUAUAUUCUUUAUCACAACAGCAUAAAAAGACAGCAUUACUGUAAUAAUUCAGGUUUUAAAUAAUGUUCACUGAAUGAAUUAGGUUCUCCAAAUCAGGUGUGUGCAGCUUAAAUCAUGUCAAAAUUAAUAAUGAAUUCCCACAGACAUUAAGACCGGUGACUCUUUUUGGCAUAUCCAAUUAGUUCUUCAGUGUCGUCUGGGUGCCUUUACAGUGUCAAUCAGCAGGCAGUAAACAUUGUCUUUCAGCAGCAGUCUACCUCAGGGGCACUGCCUUUAAACAACAAAGUCAGCUCUUUGAUACCUCCCCUUCUCACCUUUCAGCACAGCCAUCCCCAGACGUAAAAGCACACCUUCCCAUAAAACACCGCCACAAAACACUAAUACACCCUCUUUUUCGACUUUACAGCCUCUCGUCACACAAUUACCCAUGAUCACACAAUCAGCAUUUCGUUUUACGACUCAGACCUGAGCUGAGUGUAUGUAUUUUGAGAGAGCGCGAGCAAGUGAGUGAGGGUCCGGAUGGGGUUUGUGCAGGGGGAAAAAAAAAAAGAAGGCAUAUUUAUAUACAGACGGACAAGCUCACAUAGAUGCAGACAGGGAGCUGAGCAGACACAUGCACCCAAGCACACACAAACGGAUCUUCCCCUCUGCCUGCUGUCUCUCUCUGUGGCCUUUCUCUCCUUGCCCUUAGCUGUUUCCCAGAUUCCAGAUGACGUCCUGACAGGAGGGCUGAGUGACUGGAGAGAAAGAACAAGUCUGGAUUUAUCACAUAAACUGGAGGAAAGAUGCUCCGGGCUUUCAUGUGGAGGUACAGUUUAUCUAGGAAAGGCGCCAGCAAAGUUUUCUUCAGAUGUAAGUUAAUUCCACUUCUCCCUGACACCCAAAAUAACAAGGUAUUAUUCAUUUAAAAGCGAGAAAAGACACUUUUCUGAUUGGCAAAGAAAGUUGGAAAAAAAAAUCAGUUUUAAAAAGUGUGAAAAGACUCAAAAUAUAGUGACAGCUUAAUCAUCUGCUCAUUAGAUUGGCUUAGUUUUUUCACCAGUAUUUUAGGAGAUUUCACACUUUCCAGCCGGGCCUAAUGUUUUGCAGCAAAGAGAUAAUUUAUUUUAGAUCACAGAGGUGCCACCGUUUCCCUCGCUGUGUUUUUUUUAGAAGGACAGAAGGACAAUGAGAUGAACUUUUCUAAUGACUGUAGCAUGAGUGAGAAGACUAGUAGAGACCAAGCCAAGGAGGAAGCCACAUAAGUAAAGCCAUGUCAAGUUCAAUUAGACCAGCUGAAGAGUUUAGCAGGCAGAGCUGACACAGUCCAAUUUGCCCAACAUAUUCAGCCCACCUUUUCCACAUGUGCUCACUGCUCACAGCUUUCAGCACCAAGUUUGGACAAAUAUUCACACUUUCCCACAUAAACCUCUCGGGGAAAGAUGCCCCGGACUUUCAUUUGGGAGGUGCAGUUCAUCUAGGAAAGCCGUCAGCCAAGCUUCCUCCAAAUGUACGUUAAUUCCACCCCCACUCUCUACUUGACAAAGUAUUAUUCCUUAAAAAGAGGGGGGGAAAAGACACUUAUCGGUCUAUUUUUUCUCUCCCCUUUCUCCUUUUUUCAUUCACCCGCAGCCUCUUUCUGUUGUACACACACCGAAACACACAGAGCUGUACCCUGUGGUGAAUGUCUCACAUAUGCCAUCCAGUUAGCAGGAUAUUUUUGUCUGUGUGAGUGGGCAGCGGUGUCACUCAGCGAGCUUUGAGCUUAGCGGAGGGAGAACUGUGAAAGCCAGUCACUAACAAGCAGAGAGAUUCCCUCCCUGCGUCCCACAGCCAGAUGGCUAAUCUGGGCAGAAUAGGAAACAUACUUUAUAAUCAGAUUUACAGAGGUGGAAAAAAAAAAAACAUACACAAACACCAUAACAAUUCAAAUGCCUUGUGGUCACAAGCUGUCUGGAAUGAGGUGACAACGACAUAAAACAAAGUCCCUUCAAAAUGGUUUCAAUAAUUAGACGGACUGGAGUGGCUUCGGUUAGCCUAUAAAACAACUGCCGGGGCUUGAGGCUGGUCCUGCAAAUUGGAAUCACUUGUGUCUCUGCGUUUGUGUCAGGUCAGCAUUAAGUGGAUGACAGCUGAAGAAAAAGAGCUAUUUAUUUAUUUGUUUUCUCCUUUAAGGAACGGGGCAGUAUCCAAGUCUCUUUUCAACCACUAAAAAAUACCAAUAAUAUAUACAUAUAAAACACUCUCCUUCUGUCUACCUCUGCCUGUGGCCUGAAUGAUGACAGGCAUGAUUCCUGCUGGUGCCCUGCCAGUGCAUUGCCCAAGGAUGCCCACGGGUGUUUGAGGCAGCGUAUCCAUUAGCUACCUGUGUAGACUGCUCCUCUGGGAUAUUCAGAGACUGAUGUCUGCUUUCCUUCUAUUGUUGAGACUCCUGAGCCACACAGACCAACACACGUGCACCUGAAGCCAACCAUCUGGCCAAGACGUGAGGACCAUGCUGCUGCAGCCUCCGAUGAGCUGACCACUUACUCCUCUUCCUGUCACUCAGCCUCAUCAGCUGGUGCUGUCAACACAGGUGGCAUUCCCUUAUUCCUUCUCUACUGAGGAAAGAAGAAGCCGAUGGAUAUAUUAUGCUUCAGGCUGUAAAUACAUAAUGUGAGCAGAAAAACACAAUCCGCUGUAUUACAACAUCUCUGCGAAGACUGUCCAGCUGAGAAAUUUAUGGAGUUGUUGCUUGUAUUGUUUUUAUAACAGUGUAAGGGCAAUAAAUGCAGAUUGAUUAGGCCAAGCUAUUAUAGAAUUUAAGUGGCAAUAUGUACAACAAAACCCCUAUAAUGUACUAAUUAAACUUGUUGGUUGCUUGGUUGUUGGCUGUUUUGGUGAAUAAGAGUAGCGUAUGUAUAUUUUUUGCUUUUCAACAAAAGUGCAACAUUUUUAGGCGGUUCUGAAUUGUGCAAAGAAUGCAAAGCCCAGUCAUUACUGUUUACACCAAAGUGUGGAAUCGGACACUUCAUGUUGAACACCGGGAAUAAGGAACAGCUGUUUGAUGGAGGAAAACUAAUGAUGUCAUGCCCAAAAACAUCAGCGGGGACACCAACACCACGGGGGCUGUCACUCAACAACAGAAUGUCAGCGGCAGAAGGGUCUCUGUUUGGGGAAGGCUUUUGUCAAUCAUCUCUAAGGUAGCGGGGAAGCAGGUGGGUCGGCCAAUCGCAGAAGGUCCCAGCACAGCAGGCCCGCGACCAGGAAGUGGAAGCGCCAUCUGGAGUGAGGAUGAGCUGUGAGUGGGCAUUUGAAACAAAGUAACGACAUGCUGGAAGAAAGCUGGUGGUGUGUGUGUCUCUGGAUAUAACAAGGGCAUUUGGAUUCAUGCUGCCUAUCACACCCACUCUGUUGCUGAUUCUACUAGUCAGAUGGUGCUUAUUAAAGAUGUGCACCAGCAGCCAUUCCUCUCAUAUAGGGGUUGAAGACCAGUGUGUGAUACCUAACUGGUAUGAUGGGUAGAAUACUGUUACUGGCAUUAAUGUGGCAUGCAAGACACUGUAACCCCCUACCCACACUGAUUAGGGAAACAGACCUUCCAUCACACACACAUAUAUUUAUCAUUGUAUUAAUGUUAUGAGCUGGCAAAUUGUCAACUGCGAAUGUUAAAGUGACACCCUGCUGGUGAAAAUAGACUGAAUAAAACUGGC
ensembl:lncRNA